CCCACGUUGUCACAAGGGACAUGUAUCUUAGUUUCCAAACUUUACCUAGGGGUAUCUGUUUUGGUUACCUUCUAGAAAAGAGGUUUUUUUUUUUUCCUGGGUACUACCAGAGCCAAAUGCAUAACAGUUAAAUAUUCUGACCCUGGGUGAACGCCAGAGACACCCAGGGAUGUCUCCCCUCCCUCUCCCAUCAGCCUCUCUGCCAUAGAUACUACCUGCUUCAUCUUCCAGUGCAGUGCCCACAGUGCGUUCAGAGCUGGGGUCUUUCCUUCCUGGCUCCAUCCAUCCUGACCAGAGCUUUUGGCCCUAUGCUCAACCUUGAAUCCCUGAAGAUGGAACCAAGGCUUUUCUGAGAGCUGCUGCUCCGUUCCUCCUGGCUAGAAGAGCCUAGGCAUCGAAGGAGACCAGAUAAAAGCAGCCUGGUCUCUUGAUCUGGGUCAUUGUUCAAAACCCCAUGAAAAGAGAAGUGAGACCAAGCAAGGCCAGGAAGCUAAAUAAGAGGACCACUGAGCAAGCACCCUGGCAACCAUGUCUUUGGUCUCCAGAAAGCAGCUUCUCUUUUCGUCCACUCCCUGACCUCUGUGCCAUCCAGUUGGGCCCUACUGACAGAGGAGGGUUCACUGUGGAUUCUGCCCCUUUUCCUGCUAGAGUUUGAUGCUCUCUUGGUUAGGGCAAAACCAGGGCUAGCUUGGGGUGUCAGACACCAAGUCAGGUUGUUUCUAACCUUUCAAUAUUGUAGACUCUUCCACAGAUGAAAAUCGACCUGCCAAGCCUUUUCUUUUUUAAAAAACGUGUGUUUCUGUUCUCUGUGUAGCCCUAUUUUUGAAGAGGACACACCCUCUGUUAUGGAAAUAGAGAUGGAAGAGCUUGAUAAAUGGAUGAACAGCAUGAACAGAAAUGCAGACUAUGAGUGUUUACCUACUUUGAAGGAAGAGAAGGAGCCAAACCUCAGCCCAAGUGACAAUGAAUCCUAAGUCCAAGCGGCGUUGAUGUUUUCCAAGAGCGUACUUCCUGAGGGCACCUGCCAGCCCGCCAGGGGAGGAUGAAGAGGAGACAAGUUUAAUUAAUUUCAAAUCAGUGUGGACACAAGAACCUUUUAGUGUUUCUUCCACCAUCCCCUCUUCGGACAAUGGCUUCCCCUGGACUUGGAAGAAUGAGGGACUGAAGUCUGGGAAAGGCCUGGCUGCCCGCCAGCCCACUCAUGGUGAAGGAGCCCCAUGUGGUGCUGGCUUUAGAUUAGUGGGUGUCCCUCCCCACUGCCUCCUCCUCCUCCCUCAUUCUGGUCACCCUAAGAUCACAGCACCGGCCUGCUUUAUUCCCAGGGUUGGAAUCAGAAAGCUGGUCUUCUUCUGGGUCACCUUACUGCCCAAUAGGUUUGGAUAAUAUUCAUGGCUUCUCAGGUUAACUCUAGUCGUCUGGAACUUUCCUCAAGGAAAACACGACAAGCAAAGUGGGGUGUUUCAUAGCCACAUCAUCUCGGGGAGUCGUUAAGCUUAUUCCUCCCCUGCUAAGAAAACACAGCAAGAAAGUACACAGUCCUCGUGGGAGCCAUAUCUCAGUCACUUUUUGAAAACUUCACGGAAGAAUUAGCCAUCUUUAAAGAGAGAAGCAACUUUUUCCGUCUCUGCUCAAAUCACCUCUACUUGCAAUAUCUCAAAAGUCCUGAUCUUGUUUCAAAGCCACAGGCCUGGCCUGUGCCAGGCGGGCUUGGAAUGCAUGCAGGUUGGGGUCAUCUGUCGCCCUUCUGAAUCUUGGAACUCUUCAAGGCUGAGCAAGCAAGAUUUGUACCCACGACUGCUCUGGCUCACUGUGCUGUGUGGUCUCUUCGGACUUUGCCUACAACCUUUCCUGUAGGCUGGGAAGAGCCUCCAGCCCUCAGCACUCCAGGGGGUGGCUCUCAGGCCAUCAAAAGUGACAUUCUACAUGAAGUUAGUUGACAUCCAUGUACUAAAAACAAUGGAGUAAAAAAUGCAGAAAACCCACUAACCUCUCCUCUAUGAUAAAGCCAGUCCAUUUAGUCCUUCCUUUUUCUAAUUUUGACCUUUAAACAGCCGUCUAGCAAAUUGAGUCUCUGGUUCUCCUGGGAUGCUUGGUAUUUUAUUCCAGGAAAGAAACAAAGAAUGAAAAUUUUAUUUUGCUAACCACACAGAAACUUGAGGGGAGAUGAGGUUAACCAAACUUUUUGCUGCUGAAUUGGGGUUCUGUGUUUGAAAGGCUGCCCUCACGCUCCACAGAGAGCCUUCUCCUGCCCCCUUGGGGCCCCUUUAACGAGCUCUUGCCUUCUGAGAUAUGCAGAUAAUUUUAUGGGCAGAGCCGCAGGCCAGGGUGGUCUCUCUAUACAGUCAACAACCUGAAUCCCAGCUUUCCUACUAUCCUGGGACCCUGCAGUUCUCAGACAAAAGGCAGUGCUCGACAGUGCAUCCUCAACAGAUUCGUUGUCCUGUCUCAGUGUUCUCACUCUGACAGGACUCCGAGGCAUUGCCCUGUGGGCACUCACAAUCAAUUUAUACCCUGCCCUGAUUCUCAGACAGUCACCCUGCAGGUGGCGGAUGCAGCCUUCUGAGUCAUCACUCAUCUACUCUGCCCGUGACGGCUACUUUAAAUUGGUUUCUCCAUCUCUGAAAAGUCUAGUUCCUUCUUUCUUGGGGGUGUCUAAGAUCGUCGAUGACCUCCAGGCCUUCGACCUUAAUCUGUCCCUGUCCAAUAUCAGGCUUCAGAAUUUCUCAGAAGUGUAUGAAGUGUUGGACUGUUGCUUUUGAUAGAGGCGUGUCUCAUGAGAUGAUAGCACGAUUCUCAUUCAGUAUGUCAAAUAACCUCAAACUCCUGAAGAAACUAGCAUGCUCUUGAGUUUGCCUCUGAGAUCUGUGUUGACUUUUCUAGCUUCAUAGGAGCUCUGUUGUUCUGGCAAGACUCGUGACAUUAGCAUGGGCCAAGCAGUCAAAUCAAGCCUGUGAUCCUGAUUAUUUACUAUAUAAUCAGAGCAUCAUAUGUGUGUAUGACAAUCCAUAAGUUCUUAAUACAAAAAAUAUUUAUUUUUUUACAUUAUUAGUAGGAGAAAAGAAAACCCUCAUCAAUUUGCCUUAGCUAAUCAGAGCAAUCAGAUUUUAUAAUAAAGAUGGAAUUUAUCUCUGUUCAUGGGUUGUUUGCCUAGCAUGGCGAAAGCUCUGGUUGCAGGAAUAUCAUUCCCACAAGCCCAUUCACAGAUGCAUAGUGAGUUUGAGGUCAGCCUGGAAUAUGUAAGACUAUGACUCAAAAACAAAUUUUUUUUAAGAUACAUGCUUUGGUGUAUUUUUUUUUAAAGCUAAGUAGGUUGAUAGCAUUGCUUAGCUGAACUUCUUCAGAAACUUGUUUCAAUAAAUGUUUUUAAAAAUCCA